rnacentral:rRNA from 1 species
GAAGCAGCAACGCCGCGUGGAGGAUGAAGGGUCUAUGACUUGUAAACUCCUGUAAAGAAGGAAAAAAUUCCCAUUAGAUGGGAGAUGAUGGUACUUCUGGAGUAAGCCCCGGCUAACUACGUGCCAGCAGCCGCGGUAAUACGUAGGGGGCAAGCGUUGUCCGGAUUUAUUGGGUGAAAAGGGUGCUCAGGCGGAUUUGUAAGUCAGAGGUGAAAUCUUACAGCUUAACUGCGAAACUGCCUCGGGUACUGCAAGCCUAGAGUAUGGAAGAGAGUGAUAGAAGAUCUGGUGUAGCAGUGAAAUGCGUAUAUAGCAGAUAGAACACCAAUGGCGAAGGCAGUCACUUGGUCC